rnacentral:rRNA from 1 species
UACGGAGGGUGCAAGCGUUGUCCGGAAUCACUGGGCGUAAAGGGCGCGUAGGCGGCCUGGUAAGUAGGGGGUGAAAUCCUGCGGCUUAACCGCAGGGCUGCCUUCUAAACUGUCAGGCUUGAGCACGGUAGAGGCAGAUGGAAUUCCCGGUGUAGCGGUGGAAUGCGUAGAGAUCGGGAAGAACAUCAGUGGCGAAGGCGGUCUGCUGGGCCGUUGCUGACGCUGAGGCGCGACAGCGUGGGGAGCAAACGGG